rnacentral:piRNA from 1 species
UCCAGAUAUGCAGACCACAUCCUGUCUCUU